AGAGAGAGACAUGCGCGCAUAUCAAUAAGCGGAGGAAAAGAAACUAACAAGGAUUCCCUUAGUAACGGCGAGUGAAGCGGGAAGAGCUCAAAUUUGAAAUCUUCAAGGUUUUACCUUGACGAAUUGUAGUUUAAAGAAGUGUUUUCUGCUGAAGUUUUGGUAAAAGUUCUUUGGAAUAGGACAUCAUAGAGGGUGAGAAUCCCGUAUUUGACCAUUAUUUUCAGCUUUGUGAUACACUUACAAAGAGUCGGAUUGUUUGGGAAUGCAGUCCAAAAUGGGUGGUAAAUUUCAUCUAAAGCUAAAUAUUGGCGAGAGACCGAUAGCGAACAAGUACCGUGAGGGAAAGAUGAAAAGAACUUUGAAAAGAGAGUUAAACAGUACGUGAAAUUGUCAAAAGGGAAGCGUUUGACACCAGUGUUGUUUUCUCGAAAAUCAAUUAAAAAUGGCUCGAUUUUGUAUUGCUGAGACCUUAAAAGCUCACUGUACAUUUUUCGUGUCUUUUUUAAUGCACUUUUCGUUUAACAAGUCAACAUCAGUUUCUUUUGUUGUAAAAGGGUCAUUGGAAGGUGGCCUUCUUUUCGGAGAAAGUGUUUAUAGCCUUUGGCCUCUGCAAUCGGAAGAGACUGAGGUCUGCAGCGUAGACUCUUCGGGGUUAGAUACAUUUGUGCUAAGUUAUAGCUUUUUAUAGACAACUUGUUGACUAUAAUUAGUCUUGUAGCUUACUCGCUUAUGCUAUUUUACCUACGCUUAGGAUGUUGAAGUCAUCGUAUCGCGC
rnacentral:rRNA from 1 species